rnacentral:rRNA from 1 species
GAUGAACGCUGGCGGCGUGCCUAAUACAUGCAAGUCGAGCGAACAGACGAGGAGCUUGCUCCUCUAACGUUAGCGGCGGACGGGUGAGUAACACGUGGAUAACCUACCUAUAAGACUGGGAUAACUUCGGGAAACCGGAGCUAAUACCGGAUAAUAUAUUGAACCGCAUGGUUCAAUAGUGAAAGACGGUUUUGCUGUCACUUAUAGAUGGAUCCGCGCCGCAUUAGCUAGUUGGUAAGGUAACAGCUUACCAAGGCAACGAUGCGCAGCCGACCUGAGAGGGUGAUCGGCCACACUGGAACUGAGACACGGUCCAGACUCCUACGGGAGGCAGCAGUAGGGAAUCUUCCGCAAUGGGCGAAAGCCUGACGGAGCAACGCCGCGUGAGUGAUGAAGGUCUUCGGAUCGUAAAACUCUGUUAUUAGGGAAGAACAAAUGUGUAAGUAACUAUGCACGUCUUGACGGUACCUAAUCAGAAAGCCACGGCUAACUACGUG